AACGCUGGCGGCAGGCUUAAACAUGCAAGUCGAGCGGGCGUAGCAAUACGUCAGCGGCAGACGGGUGAGUAACGCGUGGGAACGUACCUUUUGGUUCGGAACAACCCAGGGAAACUUGGGCUAAUACCGGAUAAGCCCUCACGGGGAAAGAUUUAUCGCCGAAAGAUCGGCCCGCGUCUGAUUAGCUAGUUGGUGAGGUAAUGGCCCACCAAGGCGACGAUCAGUAGCUGGUCUGAGAGGAUGAUUAGCCACAUUGGGACUGAGACACGGCCCAAACUCCUACGGGAGGCAGCAGUGGGGAAUAUUGGACAAUGGGCGCAAGCCUGAUCCAGCCAUGCCGCGUGAGUGAUGAAGGCCCUAGGGUUGUAAAGCUCUUUUGUGCGGGAAGAUAAUGACGGUACCGCAAGAAUAAGCCCCGGCUAACUUCGUGCCAGCAGCCGCGGUAAUACGAAGGGGGCUAGCGUUGCUCGGAAUCACUGGGCGUAAAGGGUGCGUAGGCGGGUCUUUAAGUCAGGGGUGAAAUCCUGGAGCUCAACUCCAGAACUGCCUUUGAUACUGAA
rnacentral:rRNA from 1 species